rnacentral:lncRNA from 1 species
UAAUGUAAUAUUUAGUUGAAUUUGAGGAUAAAGUGGCGGUGGUUCUUGAUUGCUGGUUGUAACAAGAAUCAGCUACAUGUUAUUGGCCUCAGGGAAUUGGUGCUACACAAUGGUCAAAAAUGAAAAAAGUUAUUAAUUCCUAAUCACAAAGAUUGGCCUCUUUAUUCUUAUAUAAGAAUAUUGAAAGUUAGAGAUAUAUAAUUUCUAUAUGGUUUUGGAAAGUUUUGAUUAUAUGAUUGUUUCUGCAAAUUAUAAUUUUCCAGACUAUGAAAAAAUGAAAAAGGCAGAGGCUAAAUCUUUGUACUACACAAAUUUUUCUUCAAGUUGUUCAGAAAUAAAACAUGAUUUAAAGAGGAAAAAUUUGCAAACACAAUGGAGUCCUGACAUUUCAAUUGAGAAAAAGGUAAAAAAAUGAAAAUUAAAAAAACAAGAAAAAGAAAAAAUCAUGUAGACAGUCAACUUCAACCACUUCCACAGAUCGAAUUGAUAAACCACCAGCUAGUUCUAGCACAAACAUCACAUCUUCAAUUCUUCCUGAUUUAGUAAAACAAGCUGUGGCUGAUGUUGUUCGACCAUAUUUUCAUAGUGUUAUUAAACAGUUGGAGUCAGAGUUAGGUGUGCAGCGCCAAAAGCAAGUUUCUAUUAAUCAUAAUACAAGUGGAAAUCUUCCAGAAAACUUUAUAUUUCCAUUAAAAGAAAUUGAUGAACUCUUACAGUUAAAUAGCAUUUUUCUGGAAAAUACUGAAUGUCGAUCAAAUGCAGAGGUAAUGGCAGUAGUUCAAUGUUGUAGUUUAUUAAAGAAAUCCACUAGCUGCUUUGGCCUCAGGGAAUAGGUGCCACAAAAUAGGCGAAAUAAGAAAUGCACUCAUAUUAAUAAUAAACACUGACCUAUCUAUCCAUAAUUAUGGUUAUUGAAAAGUGGAGGGUUCGAGCUCAAGCUAAGAAGAAGAACUACAAACGCCACAAACGAUGAUGCAUUAAUCACUUCCUACACCACUACAUCUAUAUGUCUAAUUGUACUUACAUUUCACAAAAGGUUUGGUAAACCAGAGCUGAAAGCUGAUGUUAAUGAGCAGUGGCAGAAACAAGCCUGCAUCGGACAAACCAUUAAUGCACCUCUCUCAGAUGCCUUGACUUUUCCACUCCAAGAGAUAUAUGAUCUUCUGGAAAUCAACCCAAUUGCAAGAUUCUGAGUAGUGAUCAAGAACAGUGCAGUAAGAAAACUAUCCCUAAGCGACAAUUAGUCAACCGGACAAGAUGCUUCCAAAAUGGCUAUCAAGUUCAAUUGACAUGGAUGGUCUCGAAAAAAUCGCUAGGAGAGGCGU